GUGUUGUAUGAAAGGAAAGGAGGUUAGCACUCCCCUGGAUAAGGAUAGAAGAAGCAUUGGUCCUAACAACACACGUUUAAGGCAU
rnacentral:snRNA from 1 species